rnacentral:rRNA from 1 species
GACGAACGCUGGCGGCGUGCCUAACACAUGCAAGUCGAGCGCGAAUGGGGGAGUAAUCCCCUAGUAGAGCGGCGAACGGGUGAGUAACACGUGGGUGAUCUGCCUCCGAGUGGGGAACAACAGCGGGAAACUGCUGCUAAUACCGCAUGACAUCAUCGGGUCACAUCGAUGAUCAAAGCCGGGGACCGCAAGGCCUGGCGCUUGGAGAGGAGCCCGCGUCCGAUUAGCUAGUUGGCGGGGUAAUGGCCCACCAAGGCAACGAUCGGUAGCCGGCCUGAGAGGGCGGACGGCCACACUGGGACUGAGACACGGCCCAGACUCCUACGGAGGCAGCAGUGGGGAAUUUUUCGCAAUGGGCGCAAGCCUGACGAAGCAACGCCGCGUGGGGGAUGAAGGUCUUCGGAUCGUAAACCCCUGUCGACCGGGACGAAAGCAUCCGACCUAACACGUCGGCGUGUUGACUGUACCGGU